UACGUAGGGUGCAAGCGUUGUCCGGAAUUAUUGGGCGUAAAGAGCUCGUAGGCGGUUUGUCGCGUCUGCUGUGAAAACUCGGGGCUUAACCCCGGGCCUGCAGUGGGUACGGGCAGACUAGAGUGCGGUAGGGGAGACUGGAAUUCCUGGUGUAGCGGUGAAAUGCGCAGAUAACAGGAGGAACACCGGUGGCGAAGGCGGGUCUCUGGGCCGUAACUGACGCUGAGGAGCGAAAGCUAGGGGAGCGAAUGGG
rnacentral:rRNA from 1 species